rnacentral:lncRNA from 1 species
AAAAGCUGCUGCUUCCCAGCCCAGGCAAAUGCUCUGUUGACUUUUGCAACAGAACAGAGAAGUUCUCCACCACGCAACAGGCAGACAAGUAAUCCUCAUGCAAUUUAUCACAAAUCACUUGAUCCAGUCUUUGAAUGUGAGAGCCUUAUGUAAUGUAAAUACAUAUGAAAGCCUAUUAGCCUCCUUUGAUCAUAUUAACCUGCCGCUGUGCACAAUUAGUUUGAAAUUUUUGUCUGAAAAGCUCCAUAUUAGUGUAAGGAAAAACAUAAGGGAGAGAUUCAACCUGUCAGGAGAAAAUAACUUUUGAGAGGAUGAGAAUUUUGUAUGAUUACAUGACUCAAGCAUAAUUCUUGCCAGUCUAACACGGAAACCAAGUCGGACUGUCUCACAAAGAGCUCCAGGACCACACUGGGCUCUCUGCUGGGCUUGUCUUGGGGCAGACACAGUCCCUGGCUGUGGGUAGAUGCCAUGCGUUACGUAGUGGGGUGACAAAUGGUGUCAGGAUGGAAGAGGAGAUGUCAAGACCUCAAUAUUAAAGAAUUUGUAACCUAAGUAGACACGGUGUUCUCAGGAAACAAGCGUAAUGCUGUCCCCACUUAAAAGAUCUCAUCAGUGGUUGGCAGAAAAAAGCCUGUGGAUUAAAUGUUAAAUUCCCAGUCCAGUAUCGUCUCUUAUUCAUCAGAUCAUCACUUCUCUCCCAGGGGCCCAGUUUCGUGCUCCUUGAAAACAGAUUGACUGACGAAAUGGAAGAUGUCGUAUGCUGCCGUUUCACCCUGGCUGUUGACCGUACUGUAGACCAGGGCUGUGCUCCCAGCGCUGACAAACAGCCGUGUAAAGAGGCUGGAGGAUGCCUGUGGGACCUGAUCCUGCCUAGGCCUGUGCCAAGGAUGGAUGCACAGCCCAUGGCAGCUUCUCUAGACCAGGCAGCUUUUGCCAAAAGGAUACCUGAAGACAGCUUUGGACAACCAGCUGGUACGCUAUAAGUCCUGUUACAUUAAUAAAGGCUUUGCCUGAGCUUCUGGGGAGCA